rnacentral:rRNA from 1 species
AGCUCCAAUAGCGUAUAUUAAAGUUGUUGCAGUUAAAACGCUCGUAGUCGGAUUUCGGGGCGGGCCGACCGGUCUGCCGAUGGGUAUGCACUGGCCGGCGCGUCCUUCCACCCGGAGACCGCGCCUACUCUUAACUGAGCGGGCGCGGGAGACGGGUCUUUUACUUUGAAAAAAUCAGAGUGUUUCAAGCAGGCAGUCGCUCUUGCAUGGAUUAGCAUGGGAUAAUGAAAUAGGACUCUGGUGCUAUUUUGUUGGUUUCGAACACCGGAGUAAUGAUUAACAGGGACAGUCAGGGGCACUCGUAUUCCGCCGAGAGAGGUGAAAUUCUCAGACCAGCGGAAGACGAACCACUGCGAAAGCAUUUGCCAGGGAUGUUUUCACUA